GAUGAACGCUGGCGGCGUGCCUAAUACAUGCAAGUCGAGCGAACAGACGAGGAGCUUGCUCCUCUGACGUUAGCGGCGGACGGGUGAGUAACACGUGGAUAACCUACCUAUAAGACUGGGAUAACUUCGGGAAACCGGAGCUAAUACCGGAUAAUAUAUUGAACCGCAUGGUUCAAUAGUGAAAGACGGUUUUGCUGUCACUUAUAGAUGGAUCCGCGCCGCAUUAGCUAGUUGGUAAGGGAACGGCUUACCAAGGCAACGAUGCGUAGCCGACCUGAGAGGGGGAUCGGCCACACUGGAAGUGAGACACGGUCCAGACGCCUACGGGAGGCAGCAGUAGGGAAGUUGUCGCAAUGGGCGAAAGCCUGACGGAGCAACGCCGCGUGAGUGAUGAAGGGCUUCGGUUCGUAAAACUCUGUUAUUAGGGAAGAACAAAGGUGUAAGUAGCUAUGGAGGUGUUGACGGUACCUAAUUAGAAAGCCCCGGCUAACUACGUG
rnacentral:rRNA from 1 species